rnacentral:lncRNA from 10 species
GGAGACAAGGGCAGCAUCUGUGGCGGACUCAGGACCCAUCUGCAGAGGGAGGGCCUGGUCCCAUCAGCCCCACAGAGGACCCCCUCCUUGGCCAUCGUCAGGAGAAGCCCCCACUGCAUGGCAUUGAUUGUUCCCAUGUGUCACCAAACACCAGGAAGGCAGCUGGGGAGGAGUGAGCAGGGGCAGGACCAGGUUGCACACUUCAGGCUUCAGCAGCCUUCACCGAGUCAUCGACCCUCUGAGCCCCCGACUCCUCCUGCGCAAGGGGCUGCUACGUACCUAAGGGCUAGCAGGGUGGUACCAGGACUGACCUCCAGUGUGGCACCCAGCAAGGGCUGGACAGACUCCAGAAGCUCCAUCUGGAACCCCCAGAGAGGACCAUGACCAGAAACCAGCGGAAACAAUAGAACGAGACCUUGAAGAACUUCAGGUAUUAGAUCAACUCACCUUCAUGAAGCUUGCCUGACCCCCUCACCUGAUCCCACACCUGAGAUUCCCCCCAGCUGAGCCCAUAACACCUGGCCAUACACCCUCCGGAGAACACAUCCCUCUGUGUCCAUUCCACCUGGCUGUACACCCUCCAGAGGGCAUGCCCCUCUGUGCCCAUUACACCUGGCCAUGCACCCGCUGGAGGGCACGACUCUCUGAACCCAUACCUGGCCAUACACCCUCCGAGGGCAUGCUCCUCUGAGCCCAUUACACCUGGUCAUACACACUCUGGAGGGCAUGACUCUGUGAACCCAUACCUGGCCAUACACCCUCCAGAGGGCAUGCCCCUCUGUGUGCAUUACACCUGUCUGUACACCCUCCGAGGGCAUGCUCCUCUGAGCCCGUUACCCCUGUCUGCACGCCCUCCGAGGGCGUGCUCCUCUGAGCCCGUUACACCUGUCUGCACGCCCUCCGAGGGCAUGCCACCCCGUGCCUGCUGUACGGGGUAGACGCUUGCUUCAGCCGCACCGCCUCCUGCACUCCGUGUUCAUCACAAGAGCAGGCUGAGACACUUCUUGGCAACAUGGAGGUGUGGCUGCCAGAUUAACCUGCCGCUUAAACUCAUGAGAGUCCAGAUUCACAGCCUCUUCCUGAAUGCAGGGCUGGGCUGGCCUGAACGGCUGGAACACUUAGGCCAGGAGUUGGUGAAGUCACAGACCAUCGGGGAGUGUACGCAAUUUCUUGCUACACACACACACACACACACACACACACACACAAAACAGGCACACAUGACCCUGCAAGAGAUUAUAAGGAAAACUGCCUGUCCAGAAUGUCGGAGUUAAACAGAGAAAAAAGUCUUCCUUGUGGAUAUGGAAGCACACUACAUCACCAGGAUAGUCUCAAGAAAACUGAAGCUGAAAAUGUACUUCAAUGUGGCCCCAAAGACUGUUAGAGCCCCUUGGCAUCUAUCAGAAACAAAUAAAAACCCUUCCUAGAAAAUACUGUAUUCACCUCAGGUUUCAAAGAAACUUCACAGAGUUCCAAGGAAAAUAAGCAGCUCUUAGUUAAAAAAUAAAAAAUCACCAAAGGCACAAGGAAACAAAGGACCAUGAUCAGAAACCAGCAGAAACAAUAGAACCAGACCUUAAAGAAUUUCAGAUAUUGGAUAGUCAGACACAGGCUACAAAAAGACUAUUUUUAACAUGGUUCAACAAAUAAAUAAAAGGCUUGAAAAUGUGAGUUAAGAAGCCAGGCGAGGUGGCUCAUGCCUGUAAUCCCAGCAUUUUGGGAGGCUGAGGCAGGCGGAUCACCUGAGGUCAGGAGUUCGAGACCAGCCUGGUCAACAUUGUGAAAUGCCAUCUCUACUAAAAAUACAAAAAUUAUCCAGGCGUGGUGGCACACGCCUGUAAUCCCAACUACUCAGGAGGUUGAGGCGGGAGAAUCGUUUGAACCCGGGAGGCGGAGGUUGCAGUGAGCUGAGAUUGUGCCACUGCACUCCAGCCUGGGUGACAGAGCAAGCUUCUGUCUCAAAAAGAAAAAAAGAAAAUGUGAGUUAAGAGUAAGCUAUUUAAUAUUUGGGAAAGAAUCAAACAGAACUCUUAAUGAGGAAAAAUACAAUAUUGGCAAUUUAAGCUAAGUAGGCAAAUUUAACAGAGAUUAGACAUCAGAAGAGAAAACUGAUGGACUGGAAAGGAAAUUUGAAGAAAUUAUCUAGAAUAUAGUCUAGGGUAAUAAAAAGAACAAAUCCGUGAACUGUGCCUGGGAGACAGCGUAAGAAUGGCUAACACAUGUCUAGCCGGAGCUCAGAGGAGGGGAGAUGGAUGAUGAGCCCCGGCAAUGUUUAAAGAAUAUUGACUUCCCCAAAAUAACAAGCGACACAGAGGUUCCGCGAACCCUAAAGCGGGAUAAACAAAUAAAUCUACACGCAGACACAACACAGGGACACGACACAACAACAAGUCGGAGCAGGGGUCUUCAGAGCAGCCGGUGAGAAGACAUGUUACUUCGAUAAGGAGCCAGUCAGAAUCCAGGCAGCCUGGAAGCUGACUUCUCAACAGCAGCAGCGGAAGGAGAAAGAGAAAGCAUAUCUUUAAGGUGCCGAGAGAAAGCAGCUGUCAACCAGUGAGAACAGUUCUCAAGGACAAAGGGAAAAUAAAGACCUGGGUGAUCGAAUGCCAAACUGAGCUCAGGGACCCUCUCCUUCUGGCAUUUGUUCUCACACAGCAGAAUCGGCUCCCGGGAUCCUCAGGUGACCUGUCCAGCGGUCCAAGGACAGGGACCAG